UAUGUUCUAUAAGUCAUAACGACUCUCGGCAACGGAUAUCUAGGCUCUCGCAUCGAUGAAGAACGUAGCGAAAUGCGAUACGUGGUGUGAAUUGCAGAAUUCCGUGAACCAUCGAGUUUUUGAACGCAAGUUGCGCCCGAAGCCAUUCGGCCGA
rnacentral:rRNA from 1 species